rnacentral:rRNA from 1 species
UACAGAGGGUGCGAGCGUUGUCCGGAAUUACUGGGCGUAAAGCGUGCGCAGGCGGUUCUAUAAGACAGAUGUGAAAUCCCCGGGCUCAACCUGGGAACUGCAUUUGUGACUGUAGAGCUGGAGUACGGCAGAGGGGGAUGGAAUUCCGCGUGUAGCAGUGAAAUGCGUAGAUAUGCGGAGGAACACCGAUGGCGAAGGCAAUCCCCUGGGCCUGUACUGACGCUCAUGCACGAAAGCGUGGGGAGCAAACAGG